GGUGGUACAAUGGGACAGUGCAUCUGGCUCUUAACUAGAAGGUUGGUGGUUCGAGCCCACCCAGGGGCA
rnacentral:tRNA from 1 species